rnacentral:lncRNA from 1 species
AUGAGGGAGAAUAUUCUUAUCUUUUCAAGAUCAAAACAAAGAAUAUGUAAAAAUUACCACUGUAUAUGAGGUUAACUGUAUGGUCUUGUAGCCACACUAUCAAAUAGAGGAAGUUUUCUAAUUUGUUCUCAGUUUUUGUCAUAAAUGGCUGUUACAUUUUGUCAAUUUUUUGUGUCCAUUGAAAUGAUAAUAUGUUUUGCCUGUAUUUAUAUGGUGAAUGGUAUAAACUUAUUUUUGAAUAUUAAACUAUACUUACAUAAGUAAACACAUAUGUGUGAUAUAUUUUCUUCCUUAUACCCUUUCUAGAUUUGAUUUGCUAAUAUUUUGCUAUACAUUUUAAAUCUAUGCCAGAGGUAAAUACUUUUUCCAUAAAAGAAGAAAGAAGUACUUUCACUUUAUGGGGUCUAACUGCUUAUCUCUGCUCUCCUAACAUAAAAACAGCUAUGGACAAUGUAUGAAUGAAUGGUUACGGCUGGAUUUAUCUGGUAGGUUCUGAUUUCUAUGCACACAGUGACACCAGUCUGUGGCUUUCUUUUCUUGUAAUGACUUUGUCAUGAUUAUGUAUAAGGGAUAUAUUGUCUCAUGAAACUUCUUGGAAUAUAUUUCUUCUUCCUCAUUUUCUGAAGAAUACUGUUCAUUAGAAAAUGUUUUCCUUAAAGUUUGAAUAAUUUCCAAAGUGAAAGUAUCUGGGAACGAAAUGUUCCUUAUGAUAAAGUUUCAUAAUUGGAAACUUAAAUUAAUAGAUUAAAAAGCUCCAUCAGGAUCUAUACUGCAGAUGAUAAUUCUAGCCUCAGGAUAAAACAGAAAAAAUAAUGAUAUUAAAACUCUAGAAAAUAAUCUAAAUCAAGAAGAUUCUAGAGUGUAGUAAGAACUUAGAAGAAAGGACUAGCACAAUAUAAGUUUCCUAUUUUCAAAGUAUUCAGACUGAAAGUAGGACAAAGUUCCAUGUGGAGCAACAAAACUCAGAAAAUCUACAUUUUUUUGUUGUUUAAUUAUUGAAAGACUAGAAUUCAGGCAACCAGAGCUACUGGAAAGUGAGAAAUAAAUGCUACAAAGGAGAGAUUCACAGAGAAGAAGCCACCACUGUGAUGCAUAAACAUGCACAACUCUUUGGUUGACCAUUAAAUAAAUAACCAUCUAAAUGAGAUCUGAACUUCAACCAAGUAAACUGCUUAAUAAAGCAAAAACAUCAAUAUGCUUUAGAAAAACAGAAUGAUCUAGAGUCUCCAAAACAUAACAUUCACGAUAUUCAAGAUUCAAUCCAAAAUUUUUCAUCAUACAAAUAAUCAUGAAAACUUAUCUAACUCACAGGUAAAGUUAAUCAAAUGAGGCCAAACAUAAGAUGAUACAAAUAUUGGAAUGUAUAGGCAUAGAUUUUAAAGCUACCCUUACAAUCAUAAACUGAAGGAAAGUAUAUCUGUAAUAAAUGAAAAGAUAGAAACUAUCAGCAAAUAAGUAAAAACUAAUAAAUUACAACAACACAAAGUAAUCAUAGAGCUCAUAAUAACAUUAUCUGAAAUUUGAAAUCUACUGGUUUAGUGGAAGAGCAGAAUGGUGAAAAAAAGAGGAACCUAAAGAUAGAAAUAAUCCAACAUGAGAAUAAAAGAGAAAAAAUAUUUUAAAAAGAACAAAAGGAGCUUCAGAGACCCUUUUGGAAAAGUAUACUAUAUACACACAAUUAGAAUUCCAGAAGAAAGAAAAACAGGAGAAAGAGAAUGGGGCCAAAAAAUUUAAAAAAAUAAGAUUUUCUCCCAAAGAAAUGUCAUAAAUAUGGGGACAUAUAUACAUUUGCAUAUUGAAGAAGAUCAUCAAUCAGAGGAGUCUUAAAAUGCCUGGGUAUGUCUCUGUCAAAUUGCUGAUAAUUAAGGGUAAUGAAAAAUUUCCAAAACAAUCAGAAAAAAAAGCAAGACAGUAUAUACAGGGAAACAACAAUGUGAAAACUACUAACAUCUCAUAAGGUACAAUGAAGACCAAACAUCUUUAAUGUGUUAAGAGAAAAAUAAAUAAAUAAAUACAUAAGUAAUAAACAUACAAAGUAGAAAUCUAGAACUCUACACCUAACAAUGAAGCCAAAAACAAGACAUUUUUAUGUAAAAGAAAAUCAAAACUGUGUCACCAAGGGAACUGCUGUAUAAGAAACACUAAAUAAUACAUGUGAAAAAAGUCACAGAUGAAAAAAUUAAAAAUUUUUUAAUUAGAGAAGUUCAAGUUGACAAAACAAUGAGAAGUCAGUUCAUGACAAUCAGUUGUCAAAUUUAAAUAGUCCAAAUAUAUCGGACUGUUUAUUAUCAUCGUCAUGGUUGCCAAAGUGGUCCAACACUAUUUGAUCUUACUUAUUCUUCUAAUUGGCAUUUUUCUUCAGCCCUUGACCUUUUGGAAUGUAUUUUCCAUUUGGCAUCCAGAAAUAUCCUUUUAAAUGUCAAGUAAGAUCUUAUCAGCCCUGUGUUUAAAAUCCUAUAGAGGAUCCCCAUCCUAUUCAGAUGAAUGCCAAAGUCAUUAAGAUAGUCAACAAGACCCAAAAGAAUCCCCUUGUUAUUCUUUGUUUUUUCCCCUAGCUCACUAAGCUACACUGGGCUCCUUGUUUCCUCAAAAACAAACAAGCAAAAAACAGAAACAUUCUCACUUAAUAUGCUCUUCCCUACAUCUGGUAUGUUGUUAUCCUAGAUAACUAAAUGGUGUGCUGUACUACUAUAUCCCUUGAAGUCAACAGAUCUUGGUUUACAUGCCACUUUAUCAGUGAUAACUUCCUAUAGCAGUUAAUUUUAAAAUGUAAUCUCACCCUCCCUCUGGAAUUUGCUGUCUUUCCUUGUUUUUCCCAUAACCAACUAGCAGAGUGCUAUUAAAAAAAAAAAAAAAAAAGAAGAAAGAAAUUUUCUAAUUCAUAAUACAUAAGAAAAUAAUCUCAUAAAUCAGAAGUAAUGAUUUCUUAGAAGGGCACAAAAAUAACUAUAAAAGUAAAAAGUUGCAACAAAAUUAAGGUGUCUUUUCCUAAGAAGACAUUAUUAAUUAAUAAAUAAUUGACAUGCUAAGAAAAAGAUAUUCCAAACAAUGUGACAAACGGCUGGAACCCAUUAUAAAUAGUUCCUACAAUUGAAUUUAAAAAAAAGAUGAGGAGUUCCCGUCGUGGCGCAGUGGUUAACGAAUCCGACUAGGAACCAUGAGGUUGCGGGUUCGGUCCCUGCCCUUGCUCAGUGGGUUAACGAUCCGGCGUUGCCGUGAGCUGUGGUGUAGGUUGAGGAAACGGCUCGGAUCCCGCGUUGCUGUGGCUCUGGUGUAGGCCGGUGGCUACAGCUCCGAUUCGACCCCUAGCCUGGGAACCUCCAUAUGCCGCGGGAGCGGCCCAAGAAAUAGCAACAACAACAACAAC